UACGUAGGUGGCAAGCGUUGUCCGGAUUUACUGGGCGUAAAGAGCGCGCAGGCGGUCGUUCAAGUCGCGUGUGAAAGCCCCCGGCUCAACUGGGGAGGGUCACGCGAUACUGAUCGACUCGAAGGUACGGAGAGGGAAGUGGAAUUCCCGGUGUAGUGGUGAAAUGCGUAGAUAUCGAGAGGAACACCUGCGGCGAAGGCGGGUUGCUGGGCUGACACUGACGCUGAUGUGCGAAAGCUAGGGGAGCGAACGGG
rnacentral:rRNA from 1 species